rnacentral:lncRNA from 1 species
CCUCUUGAGCUAAAAUGAAAAGUCCACUUUGGUUUCAUCAGUUUUGGGGAUUGUUUUUAUACUGCUGUGGCGAAAUUAUAACUUAUUUCAUGAGGGGUAGAAGCAAUAUCAUUUUUCCUGAAAAAAUUAAAGUUGAGCCAGUUAGUCCAGGAAUUGCUGUUCUGUGCAUAGCGAUGUCUGCAAAUGGCAAAUGGAGACAGAUAGGCCUCACCAGUCUCAAAGGUCUGAUUACCAUUGUGAGUCCAUGCUUCUCCUGGAUCGUACUUACUCUAGCAAAAUCUGGUCAUCCACUAAGCCAGGCCAUUAUGCCUUGGAUGGAAAAGCCAAAGUCCUCCAGUCUCCAGAAAUAGUCAAAUACAUUGCCAUUUUCUUCACUGCUGAUUGUGGCAAUCCAGAAAAUAUUAUAGUCCAGUAGCUAAAGUUGGAAGUGCUAAUCUGCUUAUCCUGAGAGAUAAGAUGGAACAACACAAAGGAAAAGCUUGACUUAUGUCCCAUAGUCUUCAAUAAAUAGAAUUUCCCUCCAUAGUACCUGUCCUUUUCUUACUGUGUCGUUACUCUUACAUUUCUAAGACAAAAUAUCCACAAGUUAAAGGA